AAGGGUUGAUUAUCCGGAGUGCUUUUUGGUUUAGUGACGUGUUCGACGUUCUUGGUUACAUUCAAGUGCCUUGUUGCAGCCGUUUUGCGAUUUACAUUCUUUCCAGAUUCACGUCGUGACUUCGGCUGAAUAUCUUUGCUCUCGAGUCUUAUUAUCUACCCUGGAAGCCUCUGGGACGUACGAGGACGGCCAGAAAAGCCCCCCACACGCAUUAUUUCACGUCCGUAAUAAUAGAUGUUGUGUUUGGCGUUCUGCGUGUUUAGCUGCACCACGGUGAAAUAUUGGACGUCCAAUUAAAAUUCUAACUCGUCCAAUCCCCAGGCUUACAAACAGGCUAUGAUUCGUCGUUGGAAAAGGCGUUACCUAUCAAUCAAUUAUUUCUAUUUCUGAGUAAUAAUUGUUUUCUCUCUUAAAUUGUGUUUUUACAAAAAGAGAAUUCUCAUAAAACAUAUAAUCAUGGAUGGAAAUAAAAAUAGAUAUAAUAUCUACAUAUAAUUCACAAUACUAUUUACUUCCACUGAUA